rnacentral:rRNA from 1 species
AGUGAACGCUGGCGGUAGGCCUAACACAUGCAAGUCGAACGGCAGCACAGUAAGAGCUUGCUCUUACGGGUGGCGAGUGGCGGACGGGUGAGGAAUACAUCGGAAUCUACUUUUUCGUGGGGGAUCACGUAGGGAAACUUACGCUAAUACCGCAUACGACCUACGGGUGAAAGCAGGGGAUCUUCGGACCUUGCGCGAUUGAAUGAGCCGAUGUCGGAGUAGCUAGUUGGCGGGGUAAAGGCCCACCAAGGCGACGAUCCGUAGCUGGUCUGAGAGGAUGGUCAGCCACACUGGAACUGAGACACGGUCCAGACUCCUACGGGAGGCAGCAGUGGGGAAUAUUGGACAGUGGGCGCAAGCCUGAUCCAGCCAUACCGCGUGGGUGAAGAAGGCCUUCGGGUUGUAAAGCCCUUUUGUUGGGAAAGAAAAGCAGCAGGUUAAUACCCCGCUGUUCUGACGGUACCCAAAGAAUAAGCACCGGCUAACUUCGUG